UACAGAGGGUGCUAGCGUUGUUCGGAAUCAUUGGGCGUAAAGGGCGUGUAGGCGGUUUGUUAAGUCAUGUGUGAAAUCCCUCGGCUCAACCGGGGAACGACGCAUGAAACUGUUAGACUUGAGUACGAGAGAGGUGAGUGGAAUUCCCAGUGUAGAGGUGAAAUUCGUAGAUAUUGGGAAGAACACCAGUGGCGAAGGCGGCUCACUGGCUCGUAACUGACGCUCAGGCGCGACAGCGUGGGGAUCAAACAGG
rnacentral:rRNA from 1 species